rfam:Clostridiales genomosp. BVAB3 str. TPII9-5, complete genome.
UCCGGUGGUGAUAGCGGAGAGGCCACACCUGUUCCCAUUCCGAACACAGUAGUUAAGCUCUCUAGUGCCGAAGAUACUUAGCUGGUAACGGCUUGGUAAAAUAGGAAGCUGCCGGAU